AAGAUCGACCUCAGAGACCUUCAGCGAGAGCUCAGAAUGAAGACGCUGCUGCUUUCCCUUCUCUGUUUUCUGGUGUGGAAUCAACACACUGAAGCUUUGACUGAUCAACAGGUGACUUUAGGAGAGACUGUGACUUUAGCUUGUGAGUUUAAAUGUAAAGCUGCUAUAUGGUUUGUGAUAAAACCGUCAGCUCGUCCGAUGAUGAUCAUGAGGACUUUUGGAACCCAAGAGGCUGAUUACUACGAUGAAAAACUGCGCAGCAAAUAUUCAGAGGGAAGCAGAAGCCACUUAAUAAUCAAUAAUGUCAGUGCUGAUGAUCUGGGCGAUUAUUACUGUAUUAAAGCAGGCUUCGCUCUAAACAUCGGUGAUGGCAUCAGACUACACACCUCUGAAGUCUGAGGUGAAGUUCAACUGGUGUGACAGAAGAAUUGAGUGAACCAGACUUUUCUUCUCCUCUUCAGAACGAAAAAUAUAAAUUGGUGACAUGCUGAGAGAUUGAUUAUGUUUUCUGCAGAUGAUUAGACUUGUGUGUGUGAUCUGCUUAAACAUUAUAUGAAAUAAUGAUUAAAUAAAUCAUUACUUUUGAA
rnacentral:lncRNA from 1 species